UAAACUGGAGAGUUUGAUCCUGGCUCAGGACGAACGCUGGCGGCGUGCUUAACACAUGCAAGUCGAGCGAAGCGAUUUGGGUAGCUUGCUAUCUGAAUUGACUGAGCGG
rnacentral:rRNA from 1 species